rnacentral:rRNA from 1 species
CAGCCGCCGCGGGAAUACGUAGGGUGCAAGCGUUAAUCGGAAUUACUGGGCGUAAAGCGUGCGCAGGCGGUUUUGUAAGACAGAGGUGAAAUCCCCGGGCUCAACCUGGGAACUGCCUUUGUGACUGCAAGGCUAGAGUACGGCAGAGGGGGAUGGAAUUCCGCGUGUAGCAGUGAAAUGCGUAGAUAUGCGGAGGAACACCGAUGGCGAAGGCAAUCCCCUGGGCCUGUACUGACGCUCAUGCACGAAAGCGUUGGGAGCAAACAGGAUUAGAUACCCCUGUAGUCCCUGUCUCUUAUAC